rnacentral:lncRNA from 1 species
GUCAUGUUUGUCUCUUGUUGAGAGUUGUCUCAUUAGCAAUUCUACCACAUCUUCUGUUUUAUGUGGUCAGAAAACAAAAGCAAAAUCUUAUAAAGGAGAAGUCUUCAAUUUGCUAAAGAAUGCGUUUGUCCAAACAAUGAAACUAUAACUUUGAUUUUUUUUUAUUUGGCAAAUACGAUUCGAUUAGUUGCGAUUAAAAUCCUUCUCUCAUAGCGUUGGUCAAUAACUAUAUAUUUUUUCACCAUAUAACGCGUACAUAAAAUAUCGCACGUCCAUUCCUCUGUCUGUCCUUCCGGUCC